rnacentral:rRNA from 1 species
CGUAGUCAGUUAGAGUCCUGGCUCAGGAUGAACGCUGCGGCGUGCCUAACACAUGCAAGUCGAGCGAAGCGCUUAAGUCAGAAUCUUCGGAGGAAGACUUUUGUGACUGAGCGGCGGACGGGUGAGUAACGCGUGGGUAACCUGCCUUACACAGGGGGAUAACAGUUAGAAAUGACUGCUAAUACCGCAUAAGACCACAGUACUGCAUGGUACAGUGGUAAAAACUGAGGUGGUGUAAGAUGGACCCGCGUCUGAUUAGGUAGUUGUGGGGUAAUGGCCCACCAAGCCGACGAUCAGUAGCCGGCCUGAGAGGGUGGACGGCCACAUUGGGACUGAGACACGGCCCAGACUCCUACGGGAGGCAGCAGUGGGGAAUAUUGCACAAUGGGGGAAACCCUGAUGCAGCGACGCCGCGUGAGCGAUGAAGUAUUUCGGUAUGUAAAGCUCUAUCGGCAGGGAAGAAAAUGACGGUACCUGACUAAGAAGCCCCGGCUAACUACGUG